GCGCCUGUAGCUCAACAGGAUAGAGCAGCGGAUUUCUAAUCCGCGGGCUGGAGGUUCGAGUCCUCCCAGGCGCG
rnacentral:tRNA from 1 species